rnacentral:misc_RNA from 1 species
UACGUGGCACAUGCACCUGCACCCACCACCACCAUCCACCAUCGUUACCCAUUCACCUCUGGCACCGCAUACACCCGCCACUCGUAGCUUUUCUCUCCCUUUCGAUCCCGCCCCUCCCAUCUUGCCCAGCACUGUUCCUCUGCGGCUCCCCGAGUCUUCUCACGCACUUUUCCUCCCACGAUCGCUUACUUCAGAAUCUUCGCUACACCAUGUCCACCAAGUACCUCGCCGCGUACGCUCUGGCCUCCCUGAGCAAGGCGUCCCCGUCUCAGGCGGACGUGGAGGCCAUCUGCAAGGCCGUCCAGGUCGACGUCGACCAGGCCACCCUCGCCUUUGUGAUGGAGAGCGUUACGGGACGCGACGUGGCCGCCCUGAUCGCGGAGGGCGCCGCGAAGAUGAGCGCGAUGCCGGCGGCCAGCUCUGGUGCCGCUGCUGGCGUCGCUGCUUCCGCUGCGGGUGAUGCGGCCCCGGCUGCCGCCGCCACGAAGAAGGACGAGCCCGAGGAGGAGGCCGACGACGACAUGGGCUUCGGUCUGUUCGACUAACCUCAUCGACGCGUUGCGAGCUGUGCAUGUAAGGGUGGGUGCGGGGGGCUUGCUGUUUCGGUAAAGUUUCUUCUUGCGUGACCUCGCGUGCGUCCAGUCGCUCCCUCGCGGCAUGACAGAAGCACACGAAACGGGCAUGCGCGGCUCCGUGACCGAAGAGGGGGGCGGCCGUCUCUCUUUCUGCGGGCGUGUCACUCAUUUUUUUUGUCGUCUUAACUACACGGAAAACGCCACCGAGAUGGUGCUACGGUGUCUGUGUAGGGAGGCCAACAGGGAUGCGGAUGGCACGGAUGGUGCUCACAACAGCGGAGGCAGCCCUUCAAGGACGUGUUACGCGGCCCUCUCUGUCUCUCUCACAUGCAUCCACCACGCCCAAGCACGCGCGAAGUGAAAGCGAGCACUCGACAAGCAUAUGUGCGGCGGAUAGCGGAAUGGAGGAAGAGGAGGGCGGGUAGGCGCACGCACACGCACACACUGAAAGCUGUGAGAUGAGCGAGCGAUGCACGCGUUGAUGGGUCGAUCCCCCUUCUUCGUGCAGCCCUGUCGUCCAUGCGGGGAGGAGGAGGUGGCAGCGGCGAAGCGAAAAGGAUGAAAGCGAGAGAGAGACGUUAAUAGCCUCCGUGGGCGGGGGCGGGAAAGAGUGAUGAUGGUGCUGGCGGAAGGGCAUAGAACGGAUGGCGAGCAGUCGGCGCAUGCCUGUCUGUCUCUCUUGGCAGUGUGGCACCCGGUGGUGCGUCUCCCUCCCCCACUCUGGCCCCGCCCUUACCACAUAGCUGGCCUGCCAUGUGUGCACGCCUAUGCCUGUAUGCCUUUACACGAACCUUUCCUACUGUUUCUCAUACGCCCACAACUCUACCGAACGUCUUCCCCCCCUCCUGCACGCAUCCGUGUCAACCACACAACGCGCACACUAUAUAUAUAUAUAUGCAUGCCACCCAUCGCCGCUCGGGUGUCGACGUGGACUAAAG